rnacentral:rRNA from 1 species
GACGAACGCUGGCGGCGUGCCUAAUACAUGCAAGUCGAACGAGAGCGACCGGUGCUUGCACUGGUCAAUCUAGUGGCGAACGGGUGAGUAACACGUGGGUAACCUGCCCAUCAGAGGGGGAUAACAUUCGGAAACGGAUGCUAAAACCGCAUAGGUCUUCGAACCGCAUGGUUUGAAGAGGAAAAGAGGCGCAAGCUUCUGCUGAUGGAUGGACCCGCGGUGCAUUAGCUAGUUGGUGAGGUAACGGCUCACCAAGGCCGUGAUGCAUAGCCGACCUGAGAGGGUGAUCGGCCACAUUGGGACUGAGGCACGGCCCAAACUCCUACGGGAGGCAGCAGUAGGGAAUCUUCCGCAAUGGACGCAAGUCUGACGGAGCAACGCCGCGUGAGUGAAGAAGGUUUUCGGAUCGUAAAACUCUGUUGUUAGAGAAGAACAAGUGCUAGAGUAACUGUUAGCGCCUUGACGGUAUCUAACCAGAAAGCCACGGCUAACUACGUG